UCAAAAAUCCAUUCUGAGAAGCUGCCUUGAUGGAAUGUUGUGUCUCUUCUCCAGUGAUUGGAUAGAGACAUUCAUGCACAAGAGGAAAGUUGUUUUAUGCAAGUUGCAAACCCUGCUAAUAAGACUGAAGGGAAGGGGAGGCCCUUUUCAAAGAAAUGAGGAGACGAGAGCAUGGAAAGCUUCCCUUGCCCAAGUGACCAGGCAGCAAGGGGCAGAGCCGUCGUCACAACCCAGGCUGGAGGGUGCAACAUCCACGAUCUUAGCCACCAGCCUGUCCGUUGAGGCAGGACAGGACAGCUGCUGGAACAAAGUGCUGUCUCCCCCUUGGACUCCUCCAAAUACAAGGGAUGAUCUCCUGAGACGGGCAAAGUCCCUGGCAGAUGAAGGAAGGAGCUGGAAAGCCAGAGCCCAGGACCCAGCCUUGAGUCUGGGACUUGCUUUGUACCCUAAACCACCAUGACCAGGGAUGCGGUUCAGGGUCCCACUUUACUGUUCGUCCUUUUGACUCUGGGUUCUCUCGCUGCUCUGUGGACACGUGGUGGGUUUCUAGAGAAAAAGCCAGGAAGAG